rnacentral:lncRNA from 1 species
CCCAAACUCUAGUCUUUGCGUUAUCUUUGCUUAAACUACCCAUUCAUUGAAUUUCUUUCAUUAAAGCUUCAAUUUCCGACUAGAAGGCUAUUAUGUAACUAUUAACAUAAAGCAAAUCAUAAUGGCUACUUAAAAGUGUUAUCCGGUUACCUCGGUUUCAGACUAGAUAGGAUUCACAUCAUGAUAUAACAUUAUAGCCACACCUAAGUUAAUAACUAUGUUCAAAAAUUAAGCAGUUCCAAUAUUAUCAUAGGCCACAUGAAUUUCAAACAAACUAAAAUGCCAGGAUUCAUGCAAUAUGAUCUAACUAUACUAAAUGCAAUAAAAUAAGCAAAUUUA